AAAUGAAUAGACGGGGGCCCGCACAAGCAGCGGAGCGUGUGGUUUAAUUCGAUGCAACGCGAAGAACCUCACCAAGGCUUGACAUACAAGAAGUAGUGAUCCGAAAGGGGAACGACCUGUUAAGUCAGGAGCUUGAACAGGUGCUGCAUGGUUGUCGUCAGCUCGUGCCGUGAGGUGUUGGGUUAAGUCCCGCAACGAGCGCAACCCUCGUUGCCAGUUGUUUUCUCUGGCGAGACUGCCCCGCAAGACGGGGAGGAAGGUGGGGAUGACGUCAAAUCAGCACGGCCCUUAUGCCUUGGGCUACACACACGCUACAAUGGACGGUACAAUAGGUCGCAAUGGGGCGACUCGGAGCUAAUCCCAAGAACCGUCCUCAGUUCAGAUUGUAGGCUGAAACUCGCCUGCAUGAAGUCGGAGUUGCUAGUAACCGCGUAUCAGCAUGGCGCGGUGAAUACGUUCUCGGGCCUUGUACACACCGCCCGU
rnacentral:rRNA from 1 species